rnacentral:tRNA from 1 species
AGGUCGUUAGCUCAGUUGGUAGAGCAGUUGACUUUUAAUCAGUUGGUCGCAGGUUCGAAUCCUGCACGACCCACCA